GCCGUGGUGGUUCAGUGGGAGAAUUCCUGCCUUCCACAGAGGAGACCCAAGUUUGAUUCCUGGCCAACGCA
rnacentral:tRNA from 1 species